rnacentral:rRNA from 1 species
CCUACGGGAGGCAGCAGUGAGGAAUAUUGGUCACUGGGCGCGAGCCUGAACCAGCCAAGUAGCGUGAAGGAUGACUGCCCUACGGGUUGUAAACUUCUUUUAUAAAGGAAUACAGUGAGGCACGUGUGCCUUUUUUUAUGUACUUUAUGAAUAAGGAUCGGCUAACUCCGUGCCAGCAGCCGCGGUAAUACGGAGGAUCCGAGCGUUCUCCGGAUUUAUUGGGUUUAAAGGGAGCGUAGAUGAGUUGGUAAGUUAGUUGUGAAAGUUUGCGGCUCAACCGUAAAAUUGCAAUGGAUACGGGCAGUCUUGAGUACAGUUGAGGUAGGCGGAAUUCGUGGUGUAGCGGUGAAAUGCUUAGAUAUCACGAAGAACUCCGAUUGCGAAGGCAGCUUACUAAACUGCCACUGACAUUGAUGCUCGAAAGUGUGGGUAUCAAAAAGGAUUAGAUACCCUUGUAGUC